rnacentral:rRNA from 1 species
UACGAAGGGGGCUAGCGUUGCUCGGAAUCACUGGGCGUAAAGGGUGCGUAGGCGGGUCUUUAAGUCAGGGGUGAAAUCCUGGAGCUCAACUUCAGAACUGCCUUUGAUACUGAAGAUCUUGAGUGCGGGAGAGGUGAGUGGAACUGCGAGUGUAGAGGUGAAAUUCGUAGAUAUUCGCAAGAACACCAGUGGCGAAGGCGGCUCACUGGCCCGAUACUGACGCUGAGGCACGAAAGCGUGGGGAGCAAACAGG